ACGACGCUGGCGGCUGCCUAGCACAUGCAAGUCGAACGAGAAAGUUCCUUCGGGAGCAAUUAAAGUGGCGCACGGGUGAGUAACGCGUAGACAAUCUGCCCUUCAGUCUGGGACAACUUUUCGAAAGGAGAGCUAAUACCGGAUAACAAUGCAUGACACAAGUUGUAUAUUUGAAAGCUUUAUGUGCUGAAGGAGGGGUCUGCGUCCCAUUAGCUAGUUGGUAAGGUAAAGGCUUACCAAGGCAACGAUGGGUAGCGGGUUUGAGAGGACGAUCCGCCACACUGGAACUGAGACACGGUCCAGACUCCUACGGGAGGCAGCAGUGGGGAAUAUUGCACAAUGGAGGAAACUCUGAUGCAGCAAUGUCGCGUGAGUGAAGAAGGCCCUUGGGUCGUAAAGCUCUUUUAUGGGGGAAGAUGAUGACGGUACCCCAAGAAUAAGCACCGGCUAACUAUGUGCCAGCAGCCGCGGUAAUACAUAGGGUGCGAGCGUUGUUCGGAAUUACUGGGCGUAAAGGGCGCGCAGGCGGAAUAGUAAGUCGGAGGUGAAAGCCCGGGGCUCAACCCCGGAGGGUCUUUCGAAACUGCUAAUCUAGAGAGGGUCAGGGGCCGGCAGAAUUCCUGGUGUAGAGGUGAAAUUCGUAGAUAUCAGGAGGAAUACCGGUGGCGAAGGCGGCCGGCUGGGGCCACUCUGACGCUGAGGCGCGAAAGCGUGGGGAGCAAACAGGAUUAGAUACCCUGGUAGUCCACGCCGUAAACGAUGAGCACUGGACGUCCGGAGGGUUCGACCCUUCUGGGUGUCUCAGCUAACGCAUUAAGUGCUCCGCCUGGGGAGUACGGUCGCAGACUAACU
rnacentral:rRNA from 1 species